rnacentral:rRNA from 1 species
UACGUAGGUGACCAGCGUUGUCCGGAUUUACUGGGCGUAAAGCGUGCGUAGACGGCUAUCUAAGUCGGGUGUGAAAGCCCCGGGCUCAACCUGGGAAUUGCAUUCGAGACUGAAUAGCUAGGGUACGGUAGAGGGAAGCGGAAUUUCCGGUGUAGCGGUGAAAUGCGCAGAUAUCAGGAAGAACACCCGUGGCUAAGGCGGUUCUCUAGUACGGUACUGACGCUGAGACGCGAAAGCGUGGGGAGCGAACAGG